rnacentral:tRNA from 1 species
CUAGGAAUAUAGUAUAAACUGUAAGUACAUAAAAUUGCAAAUUUUAGAGUGUCUUCCUUA